rnacentral:lncRNA from 1 species
GUACAAAUAAUAAAAACUGACAAUAAAAUAUAACAAGCUUAAAAUAAAAAAAACGCUCUCCUAAAUAAAAGGAAAAUCAAAACCACCUAUAUCUAUUUUAUCUCAAUCAAAAUGAAACCAAAUAUUAUUAAACCUAAAACUAAUCAAAUAAGAUUUUAAUGAAUCCCUAAAAUUUAAGUUUAUCCUAACAAGAUAAUACACAAAUACCCACACUCACCC